UAGCAUAUCAAUAAGCGGAGGAAAAGAAACCAACAGGGAUUGCCUCAGUAACGGCGAGUGAAGCGGCAACAGCUCAAAUUUGAAAUCUGGCCUCUUUGGGGUCCGAGUUGUAAUUUGUAGAGGAUGUUUCGGGUACCGCCUCGGUUUAAAUUUCUUGGAACAGAAUGUCAGAGAGGGUGAGAAUCCCGUCUUGGACCGGCGGUAGGGCCCAUGUGAAACUCCUUCGACGAGUCGAGUUGUUUGGGAAUGCAGCUCAAAAUGGGUGGUAAAUUUCAUCUAAAGCUAAAUAUUGGCCAGAGACCGAUAGCGCACAAGUAGAGUGAUCGAAAGAUGAAAAGAACUUUGAAAAGAGAGUUAAACAGUAUGUGAAAUUGUUGAAAGGGAAGCGCUUGCAACCAGACUUGAGCGCGGCGGUUCCCCCUUCCUUUUGGUUGGGUUACUCCGCCGUGUCCAGGCCAACAUCGGUUCUGGGGGUCGGUUAAAGGCCCGGGGAAUGUACCUACUCCUUCGGGGGUAGACUUAUAGCCCCGGGUGUCAUGCGACCACCCGGGACCGAGGAACGCGCUUCGGCUCGGAUGUUGGCGUAAUGGUUGUCAGCGACCCGUCUUGAAACACGGACCAAGGAGUCUAACAUCUAUGCGAGUGUUUGGGUGUCAAACCCGGAACGCGAAAUGAAAGUGAACGGAGGUAGGAAGCCUUUGGGCUGCACUAUCGACCGAUCCUGAUGUCUUCGGAUGGAUUUGAGUAAGAGCAUAGCUGUUGGGACCCGAAAGAUGGUGAACUAUGCCUGAAUAGGGUGAAGCCAGAGGAAACUCUGGUGGAGGCUCGCAGCGGUUCUGACGUGCAAAUCGAUCGUCAAAUUUGGGUAUAGGGGCGAAAGACUAAUCGAACCAUCUGGUAGCUGGUCCUGCG
rnacentral:rRNA from 1 species